rnacentral:rRNA from 3 species
UGCCAAUGGCACUGCCCGGUAGCUAAAUGCGGAAGAGAUAAGUGCUGAAAGCAUCUAAGCACGAAACUUGCCCCGAGAUGAGUUCUCCCUGAGACUUUAGGUCUCCUGAAGGAACGUUGAAGACGACGACGUUGAUAGGCCGGGUGUGUAAGCGCAGCGAUGCGUUGAGCUAACCGGUACUAAUGAACCGUGAGGCUUAACCUUACAACGCCGAAG